rnacentral:piRNA from 1 species
UUACUCAGCGGAUGAGUCUCUCU